UGGGGAAUAUUGGACAAUGGGGGCAACCCUGAUCCAGCAAUGCCGCGUGUGUGAAGAAGGCCUUCGGGUUGUAAAGCACUUUUAUCGGGAACGAAACAUUGUCGGCCAAUACCCGGCAAGACUGACGGUACCCGAGGAAUAAGCACCGGCUAACUCCGUGCCAGCAGCCGCGGUAAUACGGAGGGUGCAAGCGUUAAUCGGAAUUACUGGGCGUAAAGCGUGCGCAGGCGGUUUGUUAAGUCUGCUGUGAAAUCCCCGAGCUCAAGUUGGGAAUUGCAGUAGAUACUGGCAAGCUGGAGUACGGUAGANGAAGGUGGAAUUCCCGGUGUAGCAGUGAAAUGCGUAGAGACCGGGAGGAACACCAGUGGCGAAGGCCGCCUUCUGGACCAGUACUGACGCUCAUGCACGA
rnacentral:rRNA from 1 species